AUCACUCCUCAGCCUUUUGGCUAAGAUCGAGUGCAGAGGUCUACUUUUAUCAGUUUAACAUCUGUUAUAUCCUCCAUCCGAGGACAAUACAGCAAACAGAUGUCUGCAGCAGGGAGAUGGACUAGGAGCUGCUCUGUCUGCACUGCACAUCAACUGGAUAUUGCAGUAGAUCUCCGGGAACAGUGCAGGAAAA